rnacentral:lncRNA from 1 species
GUGGAAAGGCUUUCGUUGUUCUGGCAUACCUCACUCGGCACCAGAGCAUCCAUAAUGGAGAGAAAUCAUUUGAAUGCCAGCAGUGUGGGUCAACCUUCAAAUACAAAUCCCAGCUCAAUAAACAUCAGAGAAGUCAUACUGAUGUGAAACUCUUUCAGUGCAUGGAAGGUGGAAAUGACUUUGUUCCUGGAACAAACCUUAGCAUUCAUCAGGGAAUCCAUAGUGGUGAGAAUCCCUUUCAGUGUAAUGAAUAUGGGGAAGCUUUUAAAUACCAUUACCAAUUUCCUUGGACAUUUUAGAAUUCAUAUUGACAAGAAUCCUUAUGAAUGUAAAAAAUGUGGGAUGUACUUUGUACCUGGUAGAGAUGUUAAACUACAUCAAAGAAUUCACACUGGUGAAAAACUUAGAAUUAGGAAUG